GGACCCGCACAAGCGGUGGAUGAUGUGGAUUAAUUCGAUGCAACGCGAAAAACCUUACCUACCCUUGACAUGCCAGGAAUCCCGGAGAGAUUCGGGAGUGCCCGAAAGGGAGCCUGGACACAGGUGCUGCAUGGCUGUCGUCAGCUCGUGUCGUGAGAUGUUGGGUUAAGUCCCGCAACGAGCGCAACCCUUGCCAUUAAUUGCCAUCUUUCAGUUGGGCACUUUAAUGGGACUGCCGGUGACAAACCGGAGGAAGGUGGGGAUGAGGUCAAGUCCUCAUGGCCCUUAUGGGUAGGGCCUCACACGUCAUACAAUGGCCGGUACAGAGGGCUGCCAACCCGCAAGGGGGAGCCAAUCCCAGAAAGCCGGUCGUAGUCCGGAUUGUUCUCUGCAACUCGAGAGCAUGAAGUCGGAAUCGCUAGUAAUCGCGGAUCAGCAUGUCGCGGUGAAUACGUUCCCGGGUCUU
rnacentral:rRNA from 1 species